CAAUAAAUCACAAUGCGGGACUAUCAGUCUUGCAAUUGGAUUGAGAACAAUGUACAACUCUUAUCGAUAAGCCAUUGGAGGGCAAGUCUGGUGCCAGCAGCCGCGGUAAUUCCAGCUCCAAUAGCGUAUAUUAACGUUGUUGCAGUUAAAAAGCUCGUAGUUGAAGUGUGGGUGAUCGCUGUUGUGAGACUUCGGUCUCUCGACAGUAAGUCACCCCCUUCCAGUAUCCAGUAGUGGGUAUUCAGUUACUUACUAUUGUGUGUUGGUCGUUUACUGUGAGAAAAUUAGAGUGUUCAAAGCAGGCGUUUGCUUGAAUAGAUUAGCAUGGAAUAAUAAUUGAAGGCUUUCGUGUUCGAUUUGAUUGGUUUGUUCAUGGAAGCAAGGUUAAAAGGAACAGUUGGGGGUAUUCAUAUUCACUAGUUAGAGGUGAAAUUCUCGGAUUUAUGGAAGAUGAACAAGUGCGAAAGCAA
rnacentral:rRNA from 1 species